rnacentral:tRNA from 1 species
AAAAUCCGUGAUUUUUUAAAUCAUGAGGGGUCAGUCCUUCUAUCCCCA